GGUAGCAGGCCUUCGGGCGCUGACGAGUGGCGGACGGGUGAGUAACGCGUAGGAAUCUGCCUGGUAGUGGGGGACAACUUAGGGAAACUUAAGCUAAUACCGCAUACGCUCCUUAUUGCAAGAUGGGGAGGAAAGCGGGGGCUCCUGUUCUUCGGAAUGGGACCUCGCGCUAUCAGAUGAGCCUGCGUUAGAUUAGCUGGUUGGUGGGGUAAAGGCCUACCAAGGCGACGAUCUAUAGCUGGUCUGAGAGGACGAUCAGCCACACUGGGACUGAGACACGGCCCAGACUCCUACGGGAGGCAGCAGUGGGGAAUAUUGGACAAUGGGCGCAAGCCUGAUCCAGCAAUACCGCGUGUGUGAAGAAGGCCCUAGGGUUGUAAAGCACUUUCAACGGGGAGGAAAACCUGCCGGCCAAUACCCGGCAGCUUGACAUUACCUGUACAAGAAGCACCGGCUAACUCCGUGCCAGCAGCCGCGGUAAUACGGAGGGUGCGAGCGUUAAUCGGAAUUACUGGGCGUAAAGCGUGCGUAGGCGGUUGAUUAAGUCAGAUGUGAAAGCCCCGGGCUUAACCUGGGGAACGGCAUUUGAUACUGGUUAACUCGAG
rnacentral:rRNA from 1 species